CGCGAGGCGGGCGCUGGGCGGGUGAGUCCCACUUCCCGACAGCCUGGCUCGGCCAGCGACUGGGCGGGGAGACCAAGGAUGGAAGUGGGCUUACCGGCCAUUACCCUCUUUCUCACCAGCGCCAGCAGCCCUGUGGUGGCGACGACGAUGGACCAGGAGCCAGUGGGCGGUGUGGAACGAGGAGAAGCCGUCGCAGCCUCGGGAGCUGCGGCCGCCGCGGCAUUCGGGGAAUCUGCAGGGCAGACAGAAUCUCACUCUGUUGCCCAGGCUGAAGUUCAUGGCGCGAUCUCGGCUCGCUGCAACCUCCACCUCCCGGGUUCAAGCAAUUCUCCUGCCUCAGCCUCCUGUGUAGCUGGGAUUAUAGGCACGCUCCACCGCGCCUGGCUAAUUUUUGUAUUUUUUUAGUAGAGGUGGGAUUUCACCAUGUUAGCCAGGGUGGUCUCACACCCUUGACCUCAAGUUGUCUGCCCGCCUCAGUCUCCCAAAGUGCUGGGGUUACAAGCAUGAGCCACCAUGCCCAGCCACAGUGUAAAUUUUAUUUGUAAUUAUUGGAUUUCUGGUUCAAGUUGAUGUUUG
rnacentral:lncRNA from 1 species